AAAGAAAAUGAAAAUAUCUUUAAUUCCAACAAUAAUUUGCAAAACCUUUUGUAAAGUUUAUUUAUUUAAAUUUAUAUGCAUUGCAUAUUUAUUUAAUUAAGCAUUCAAGCAUUUACACGAGGUAAUUAUUUAGCGAAUACUAAACGAUUUUUACAAUUUUGAUAAUUAUAUCAUGAAGAUUUUAAUUGUCCAAUCAAUGCUUUAACUCAACCAUACCCUAUACUCCUACAAGCCACCCUAUGCCUGCCCCCAAUUUGAGGCCAUGCCUGCAGAUUCAAAUAUCUACCACAUCUCAAGUUACACUCCAGCCAAUUCACCAUUUUCAUGAAUUACACUCUCUUCAAUUAUUUGCCAUGCUCUCUCUAUCUGUCGUAAGAAGAAAUGAAAAACUCGAAGCGCUGGACUUUACCAUUUUGAUUCAAUAAACCCAGCAGCCAACCCAAAUCAAAAUGACAGCCACGCUCAUCAUCCACCCAAGGCUUUGUGGACCAAGGGGAUUAGCACUGCUUUCCCAAGAUGAGUUUAUGUGAUUAUGAUCUUCAGGCUUUGCCUAACCAGGUGGGCUUACUUUCCAAAUGUAUAAAGUAUGAUUGAGUUAUUAAGCUCUAAAUGUUUCAAUGAAAUGAAAAUUAUUUAUUCAAUGAAAUGCAAACUGUUUAUCCAAUAAAAUGUUUAUGUGCACUCUCCUCUGUUUAAGGCUCGCCACAACGAAUCAAUUGAGGCUCUCUCAUGGCCUAACACGUUAUUUGAGAAUUGUGUACACUCGUUAGCUCACCUGGUGGGUUGAUCUCCAUCGGGCACUAACUAAGAGGCGUUAUAAGGGUGCUUGCUGGAUGUGUUCCGAAGCAUGUAAUGUAAGGGCCUGCCUGGGUAGUGUCCCGAGGUCAAUUCAACUUGUCUGAGUUACGUCCUCAGGGCAAGUGCAAUGGGAGAAAUGGAUCCGUCGGUGGCUUAAAGGUCCGGGAUCACAGCGAGUAACAGAAAGGGAGUGUGACAUGUGCGCACAAAUGAAAGAAAUUAUUUUAACAUGCUUAGAAGUUAUUUCACUUUAAAACCUUCUAAGUUAUGUCAAGUAUGAUUGGAUAACUGUCUUUAAGAAAAUAUGAAAUGUUUAUGAAUAUGCAUGCCCACUGAGUACAUUAGUACUUAGCCAAAAAAUACUUUCAAAUGUUUUCAGGUUGGCUGGCCGAUGCUGACGGGACGGAGCUGAGGCUAGGGUUAAAUUCCUUUGUUAGACUUCCGCUGUAGCAAUUACUCAUAUUCGUCUUUUGUUUUUCCAACUUAAGAUCUUCAUGUUAAAUUUCAAAUGAUAUACCUGACCGAGCUUAGACUCUUCACUACUAAAUUUAUGCUAAUGAAUGUCGGUUGUCAGAAGCAUGAAACAAAA